GCGAAAGUGGCGGAAUUGGUAGACGCACCAGACUUAGGAUCUGGCGCCGCAAGGUGUGGGGGUUCGAGUCCCCCCUUUCGCACCA
rnacentral:tRNA from 2 species